CGGAGGAACGGCGGAGCUGCGCAGCCGGUUGCGGGUGGGCCGGCCCCAGUUGCUGACUAAUCCCGGGCUGAGUCACGGUUGCGGCGGGGAGCGCUGCGGCAGCGAUUCCCCACCUCCCCUUCCCGAACCGGAGAGCCCCGACGGGGCGAGCGCCGGUGCUGCGUGGGGGAAAAAAAAAAAUGGGGGACAGGAGGGGGACACCCCCAUCGAGCAGGGGGUGGGUAAGGCGUUUUGGGGAGUUCUAGGGGGGUGGCAGCGCCUUGGUCGGUGGAGAGUGGGGAGGUGCCGGUGGGGUUGGGAGGGGUUAAUUCUCUGAGGCGCUCUGCAGGAAUUUGGGGGUGCGAGGGGUAAGGGAGCGGGGGGGUGGUGGCUGGAGGCCCCCGUGGCAGCGUGUGGCCUUGCAGCAGCGCGGCCUUGCGCAGCGGCGGAUGCUGGCGGGCGCGGAUGCUGCUGUCAAUGACAACGCCGCUGUUGCUGUGGUUACCGGUGUGAUGCUUCGCCAGAGCAGAGUGAGGUCAGACGGCUCCAGCAGGAGUGGGGGGGAUGCAUGGAUGGAUGGAUGGACGGACGCACAGGUGCAUAAAGGGGGAAAGGAUGCUCACAAAUCCCCCUGGAUAUGACUCUAGGCCCAUCUAGGGGGGGGAGUGCUGCCACUUAGGAAGGAGCAAGGGGCCAAAAUUAACUCACCCAUGAAGCCACAACCUUCUUCUGUAGCACUGACAGUUUUUGGGGGACCCAGCCCUGGUGGGAGUGAGGGCCAGGCUGCAUUGUGAGGCUGGAGGGGUCAGGGCAGCACGGUGCUGCAGUGGGUUGCUCACCUCAUGCAUUCCAAACUGGCCCCCCACCACUGCUUGUGCUGUCCCAUUGUCCUGCAGCGCGUUGGGGUGGCACCCGUGGGUGCUCGUGACACUGCAAGGACAGGGGGUUAUGAGAGAGGUGCUGCUCAGGACAUUGUUGUGGGUGGGGGAUGCAGGUGGGCAGGGGGCACCCCCAGGCUGGUGCUCGGGUCUGGGGACCCCUGUGCCACCCCUUGCCGUGACGGGGGGCUCAGACAGCCCUGAAUCAGCAGCCCCGUGGUGAUGCCACGAGCCAGGAAGGGGCCACGUUCUGGCCUGGCAGGGUGGCGAUGGGCACCCUGGGCUCCCGUGGGUGCCUCGACGGACCCCUUGUGUUUGGGGCAGUGGGUGCCCCACGCUGCACUCCCAGGGGGACAGGACACUCACGCUGUGUCCCAGUGGGUGCACGGCCCCUGGCUCUGGCAGCAGGUGCCGAGGGGAUGUGGGGUGCCGGGUGCUGCUCCACUGCUCUCCUGGAGCAGCCAGGGAAUGGGGGGGCUCCGGAGGGGCCGGGGGGAGGGCCGGGGUCCCGUUGCAGCCCGGACCCCCUGCCCGGCUCCGGGCCGCUGUCCUCCCCCCGCGCCGAUAUAAAUAGUAGCGUCUUCCCGUUCCCUAAAUUUCCUCGCUGACGUAGCGCUCACGUCAUUGUGUAGGUUGAUGCUUUUCUAUGAAUGAGCCGAGAUCCCCGUUACUACGAGCCCGAUCCUAUAAAAGCCCCGCGCGCUGCGGACAGCGCAGCACCGACACCGGCGCCGGCCCCGCCGGGAGCCGCGGGGCCCCUGCCCGGCCCGGCAGCCGCGGGGCCCGCAGGAGGUAAGGAACCGGCUGGGUUGGCCCCCAGACACCGACCCCCCCACGGCGGACGCCCCCCCGCCUUCCCGCUGCAGCCCAGUUUUUCUUCCAGAGUCCUUAAAAAUAUCCUGGAUUCCUGACACAGGACUUGUCUUCCAACGCCGCUUCCAAGCCGCUGGGCCCGGGGCCAGCCGCCAGCGCCAGGGGACAGAGGCUGUCCAGCUCCCGUGCUCCUCCUCAGCGCAGAGACCGCAGCGGUGCCGGGAAGGAAUGUGGUGCCAAGGAGGAUCACAGCCCCUGCCACGGCCUCCUCCACGGUGGAUUGGUGCUCAGCAGGGCACAGGCACGGCACAAACAGUGCCUGACCUCGGAACGCACCCAGCGGCUUCAGAGCGUGGCCCUGUGCACAGCCAGGAGGGUGGGAAGGGUCUGCCUGGCACCUCCAAGCCAUGACCCUGCAGAGCCCGGCGGCUGAGGACAGGGGUGGACACUGCCUCAGCGAAGGUCCCAAGGGACUCUCCUGGAUGGGAUUUCCCUGCGCAUCCCCAGGAAAGCACGUGGCCCCAGAAAACUUCUAGACAAAACCUCUCCUGGCUUUGCCGAGCGGCAUCCUGGCACCGUAGGAAUUUAGGGUGGGCCCGGGGGGGCUGAGCCAGCAAAGCUGGUAGGGGCUGCAGGAAGAGGUGCUGCUGUUGCCCCCCCAAAGGCCGGGCAGGUGCCCACUGGCCCCACACGCUGUUGCUGCCAUCUGACAGCUCUUGGCAAAACGGCCUUUUGUGAUUCAGCCGUGUUUAUCCCAGCCUGCAGCCCGGCCCAGCGUGGGUUUCCAUGGAAAACUUCCAUCCAAAACAAGGAGAGAGAAGGAGCUACAGCAGGAGUGACUCAGCCACAACUGGAAGCUUCUGCGAGUGAAGCAGGCAAGGGGGGGCUGUUCCCUAUGGCUCGGUCCUGCUCCAGCAGCGGGGCCCAGGCAUGGUCCCAGCCGUCCCCUGCCCGUGCCACUGCCACUUCGCAGGCAGGACCUUGGCAGGUUUGGGAAAAGCCUCGCUGUAAAACCAUCUGGGAAACACACCACCCUCCCGGAGCGCCCCCUCCCCACGCCUCUGGCAGGGCCUGCCAGCCGGGACAGAGGAGGAAGAGCGUGAGAUGAGUAAGGCUCAAACCCUGGCACGAGCCGCACCUGAUGCCAGGCUCGGCGGGACGUCGCUUUUUCCAGCGCUGCCCACAGGAGCCUCUACCUGUGCCUGGUGUGCCCCACGUGGGUGGCUGGCAGGGUGGGCAGUGGCAGUGGCCUCGAGGUGGCAGUGGCACAGGGGAAAGGCGUGCGGGGAUCUGGGGAGAGGUGGGAAAACAGCCGGGAGUUUGCAGGGAAGCAGCAGCACUGGCAGCACUGGUGGCACCUCUGCUCAUGCCAGGCUCCUCCUGCCCUCCCUGGGACACUGGGGCAGGGCUGGGGGCUCUGCUCAGCCAGGGAAGGGGCAGCAAAGCUCUGCCUGGCCGAGCCCUGGACUCCGUGCCCACAGCAGGCUCCUCACAAGCAGGGCCACGGCCAGGGUCCUUCCUGUCCUUGAGGUCACACAGGUGGCUCCAAUGGCUGCACUGGGGUAUGGAAAGGCACAUCUGGGGACAGGGUGACAUCCCUCUGCUGAAACACCCAGGCUCCAGCUGCUGCUGCUAACACUGGUGAUUGUCCCCAGGGCCCUCUUGUCACUUGCAAGUGGCACAGCUGCCACCCAGAUCCCGGGCUCACUCCAUCACCCCCUGUUCAGCAACAGCAACUGGGCCACGCUGUUUUGGGGGAAAACCAACUCCCCUGGGCCACGCCAGGUGAUGGAAAAGGAGCUCCCAGCAUGAAGCUGAGUGAGGGGUGGGAGGACAUCAGCCAGUCUUGUCUCCCGGCUCACCUCUGCGGGCAGCCAAGUUCUGUGGCUGCAUCCCAAGAGCAGACCUGGAGAGGCAGGGGCCAGCCCGAGGGCAUCCGGCCAGGAAAGGAGGGAGAGGGCAGGAUUCCCACGGCAAACCCCUCCGAGCCGCUUCCCUCCUCCCACCACACCGGGACCUCCCUGCGCUGCCCACACAGGCACCUCCUGAGGACAAAGGUCGCGUUUAUCUGCUUUUAUUAAAUUUAUUUAAACCGCUACAGCAGACACCCGGCAGGAGCCACCUUGAUGCAGACCCCGGGAAAGGGGCAGGAACUGCAGCACCCCAGUUCGGGUCACCCAUCCCUCCCCACCCCACCAGCCUGCAGAGCUGGGACCGUGCUGCUCACUCACCGCACCCUGAGCUUCUUCCCGUUCCUUCCCUCUUGCCAGGAGCUGCCGGUGCCUCCCUGUGCCCGGGGCCGCGGGGCCGCAGUGCGGGCGGGCGGCCACAGCUGCGGUGCCUCCCCCGCGCCGGGAAAGCACCGGGAGCUCGGCGACAACCGAACACCUCCCGGGACUGCGAGCGUCCCUGCCCGGCGGCGGGGAGAGAGCGGGGACAAAGGCUCCGGGGCGCUGUCACAGCUGGUCGCUGUGCUCGGCCACAGCUGCAGCCGGGCGUGCAACCCCAAAAACAGCCUGAGGUGUCACCGAGGGGUGCAGACACCCCACGCUUUCACAUCAGAUGUGACACAGCCCACGUGGAGCGGCACGGACGGCCAGCACUGCCCGAGGCCCCCAGGGCAAAAGCAGAGCGGGUUUGGGCUGCGGGGAAACAGCCACAUCGCCCUGCCAGCAUCACCACCGUGCUGCAAACCGGGGCAAAACGCGAUGGGGCUGAGAGCUGCUCACUGCUGCCGUGGGGCUGAGCUGCUCCCUGCUCCCGUGCUGCUCUGGGGCUGAGCUGCUUUAACCCUCAGCACUGCCAGGCCCGCUCCCAGCUCAGCGAGCACAGGAAGGGUUUCAGCAGCACAGCGUCCUGCAGCCCUGCAGUGCUGACACUGCGCUGCCCUGCUGCUCAAGCAGGGGGAAAAUUCACUUUUUUCACUCAAUUUCCCUCUUUUACCAGCUCUACACCCCCCAAGGAAAGCUGUGGUUAGAGAAGCUCUGCUAGCUCUCCUCUCCUGAGACUGGUGCCCAGUGCUGAGCGGGGCAGAAGCUAAGCAGGACUCCUGCAACUGUUACAGCAAUAAAGAUUUUCCUGAGCUUCUGGAUAAGAGAGCCACAAACAGCGA